CGGGGGGCUCCUACGGGAGGCAGCAGCAACGAAUCUUCCGCAAUGGGCGCAAGCCUGACGGAGCAAUGCCGCGUGUGGGAUGAAGUGCCUCCGGCAUGUAAACCACUGUCAGAAGAUAGAAACACUGAUCAUCUCAAAGGAAGGGCGACU
rnacentral:rRNA from 1 species